GACGAACGCUGGCGGCGUGCUUAACACAUGCAAGUCGAACGGAAAGGCCCUGCUUUUGUGGGGUGCUCGAGUGGCGAACGGGUGAGUGACACGUGAGUAACCUGCCCUUGACUUUGGGAUAACUUCAGGAAACUGGGGCUAAUACCGGAUAGGAGCUCCUGCUGCAUGGUGGGGGUUGGAAAGUUUCGGCGGUUGGGGAUGGACUCGCGGCUUAUCAGCUUGUUGGUGGGGUAGUGGCUUACCAAGGCUUUGACGGGUAGCCGGCCUGAGAGGGUGACCGGCCACAUUGGGACUGAGAUACGGCCCAGACUCCUACGGGAGGCAGCAGUGGGGAAUAUUGCACAAUGGGCAGAAGCCUGAUGCAGCAACGCCGCGUGCGGGAUGACGGCCUUCGGGUUGUAAACCGCUUUCGCCUGUGACGAAGCGUGAGUGACGGUAAUGGGUAAAGAAGCACCGGCUAACUACGUG
rnacentral:rRNA from 1 species